UUAUAUUAAGACCAGUAAAUUGUAUUUUAUUACAGAAAGCGAUCUAUUGUGGGCUAGUGAAACUGAUCGUGAUGAAUGGGAAGAAGCCCAAAACCAAUUGAAGAAUUCCAUUUUUCCUGAAUCUGACUUUACGAUGUUGAAUGUUUAUACCCAAUGGAAGCAUAAUUGAGUUAUUCAGCAUCAUGGUGUAAGAAACAUUUCAUUAACUUAAAAGCUAUGCGCAAAAUUUGUGAAGGGAGACAACAACUUAAAGAAAUGGAUCAACAGAAAAUAAAAAUUAUACUCUGUUUUGCGGUUUGGGACAUUAUUCGUAAAUGUAAAUAUUCAGACAAUUAGUGAUUCAAAAUUAUUAUGUUUAUUAUUUUUAUAAAUUGUGCAUUGUAUUUAUUUGGGAAAUUUGUUAAUAUUCUAUAGCUUACUGAUCAAUUAUUUAAGUAUCUACUUACCAAUAAAAUGUCCCAGGAUCAUAUA